rnacentral:rRNA from 1 species
AGAUGGGGACAACACUUCGAAAGGGGUGCUAAUACCGAAUGAAUGUAAGAGUAUCGCAUGAGACACUUACUAAAGGAGGCCUCUGAAAAUGCUUCCGCUUGAAGAUGAGCUUGCGUCUGAUUAGCUAGUUGGUGAGGGUAAAGGCCCACCAAGGCGACGAUCAGUAGCCGGUCUGAGAGGAUGAACGGCCACAUUGGGACUGAGACACGGCCCAGACUCCUACGGGAGGCAGCAGUGGGGAAUCUUCCGCAAUGGGCGAAAGCCUGACGGAGCAACGCCGCGUGAACGAUGAAGGUCUUAGGAUCGUAAAGUUCUGUUGUUAGGGACGAAGGGUAAGGAUCAUAAUAAGGUUUUUAUUUGACGGUACCUAACGAGGAAGCCACGGCUAACUACGUGCCAGCAGCCGCGGUAAUACGUAGGCGGCAAGCGUUGUCCGGAAUUAUUGGGCGUAAAGGGAGCGCAGGCGGGAAACUAAGCGGAUCUUAAAAGUGCGGGGCUCAACCCCGUGAUGGGGUCCGAACUGGUUUUCUUGAGUGCAGGAGAGGAAAGCGGAAUUCCCAGUGUAGCGGUGAAAUGCGUAGAUAUUGGGAAGAACACCAGUGGCGAAGGCGGCUUUCUGGACUGUAACUGACGCUGAGGCUCGAAAGCUAGGGUAGCGAACGGGAUUAGAUACCCCGGUAGUCCUAGCCGUAAACGAUGGAUACUAGGUGUGGGAGGUAUCGACUCCUUCCGUGCCGGAGUUAACGCAAUAAGUAUCCCGCCUGGGGAGUACGGCCGCAAGGUUGCAACUCAAAUGAAUUGACGG